rnacentral:rRNA from 1 species
AACGAACGCUGGCGGCAUGCCUAACACAUGCAAGUCGAACGAGACCUUCGGGUCUAGUGGCGCACGGGUGCGUAACGCGUGGGAACCUGCCCUUAGGUUCGGAAUAACUCCCCGAAAGGGGUGCUAAUACCGGAUAAUGUCUUCGGACCAAAGAUUUAUCGCCUUUGGAUGGGCCCGCGUUGGAUUAGCUAGUUGGUAGGGUAAAAGCCUACCAAGGCGACGAUCCAUAGCUGGGCUGAGAGGAUGAUCAGCCACACUGGGACUGAGACACGGCCCAGACUCCUACGGGAGGCAGCAGUGGGGAAUAGUGGACAAUGGGCGAAAGCCUGAUCCAGCAAUGCCGCGUGAGUGAUGAAGGCCUUAGGGUUGUAAAGCUCUUUUACCCGGGAUGAUAAUGACAGUACCGGGAGAAUAAGCUCCGGCUAACUCCGUG